UACAGAGGUCUCAAGCGUUGUUCGGAUUCAUUGGGCGUAAAGGGUGCGUAGGCGGCUUGGCAAGUGGAUGGUGAAAUCCCUCGGCUUAACCGAGGAACUGCCGUCCAAACUGCUUCGCUUGAGACCGGGAGAGGUGAGUGGAAUUCCCAGUGUAGCGGUGAAAUGCGUAGAUAUUGGGAGGAACACCAGUGGCGAAGGCGGCUCACUGGACCGGUACUGACGCUGAGGCGCGAAAGCGUGGGAGCAACGGG
rnacentral:rRNA from 1 species